rnacentral:lncRNA from 1 species
CUCAACAGCACUUAGAAGGAUUUGGAGGACUUUGGAAAAAAAUAUUACCAUAUUUCAUUCUCCCAGACACCUCUUCUAUAAUGGACCCUUGAUCUCCCCUGGAGGUAUAUAUUGGGAUUGAAGAGGACAGAGAAAGACUGGAGAGGGCCCUCUCUAGCAGUUAACUCCUUUUGUAAUAAAGCUUUAGUGCUUAAAAAAAAAAAGAA